rnacentral:tRNA from 1 species
GCCACCGUGGCUUAGUGGUAUAGCGAUGCCUUGGUAAGGCAUAGAUCGCGGGUUCAAUCCCCGCCGGUGGCU